GACGAACGCUGGCGGCGUGCUUAACACAUGCAAGUCGUACGGUAAGGCCCUUUCGGGGGUACACGAGUGGCGAACGGGUGAGUAACACGUGAGUAACCUGCCCACAACUUUGGGAUAACGCUAGGAAACUGGUGCUAAUACUGGAUAUGUGCUCCUGCUGCAUGGUGGGGGUUGGAAAGCUCCGGCGGUUGUGGAUGGACUCGCGGCCUAUCAGCUUGUUGGUGGGGUAGUGGCCUACCAAGGCGGCGACGGGUAGCCGGCCUGAGAGGGUGACCGGCCACAUUGGGACUGAGAUACGGCCCAGACUCCUACGGGAGGCAGCAGUGGGGAAUAUUGCACAAUGGGCGCGAGCCUGAUGCAGCAACGCCGCGUGCGGGAUAACGGCCUUCGGGUUGUAAACCGCUUUCAGCAGGGACGAAGCUUUUUGUGACGGUACCUGCAGAAGAAGCACCGGCUAACUACGUG
rnacentral:rRNA from 1 species